rnacentral:rRNA from 1 species
UAACCUGCCCAAGAGAUCGGGAUAACACCUGGAAACAGAUGCUAAUACCGGAUAACAACAGAUGAUGCCUAUCAACUGUUUAAAAGAUGGUUCUGCUAUCACUCUUGGAUGGACCUGCGGUGCAUUAGCUAGUUGGUAGGGUAACGGCCUACCAAGGCGAUGGUGCAUAGCCGAGUUGAGAGACUGAUCGGCCACAUUGGGACUGAGACACGGCCCAAACUCCUACGGGAGGCAGCAGCU